GCACCGGUGGCGUACGGUACACGCCUCCAUAAAGUGCGUCGAUCGCAGAUAUUUCAAGGAGAGCCCGGGGUUCGACUCCCCGCCGGUGCA